AGGUCAGAAUUGAACUGUUUUAUAGUGAAACAUAUACAUCCAUUUCUAAUCAAUAUCUCCUCAGGAGGAAAGUAAGAAGUUUAUAUGUUAACAAACUUUGUACUUCAAAGAAGUAUGACUCACACAUAUUCCGAGUAGAAGCUAUCAAUUUGGCCAAAACAUGACAUUCCACAGCUAUGAGAGAGUUAAUGAUGUACGGUCACUUGGUCAAAGGUUGGUAACUCGACCCCCCCCUUCCAGAACACUUGUAACAACUUAGCCAAACAAACCCCAAAUUGUAAACAUCGGAUAAGAACCCCAAACUCCCAAAACAAAAGACUUCCUGUCUCCCUCCCAAUAACAAGACCCUUUACCAGAACAGGUUAUGUGUGGUAGCUAUACCACCGUGAGAGUAUAGCUGUUAUAAAAGAAGGCAGAGGUAUUUGUGAGAUUCACUCCUGUACUGCACCCCAUCCAUGGGGCAGGCAGGGAGGUCGACUCUGCAAGCUUUUGGUGUUACAUGUCAUUAGGUGUUGACAAAUUACAAUCAACAUGUAAGAAGCAGGAACGAGAGGAAACAGUCCUCUAGGCCAGAUUGCCAGGGCUUUAGCUUUGGCUUUAGCUUACUUUAGCUUUGUUCACUUUGCACCUGAAAUAAAAAGAACCGCAACACAA